rnacentral:rRNA from 1 species
UAGAUACCCUGGUAGUCCACGCUGUAAACGAUGUCAACUAGCCGUUGGGGACUUUAAUGUUUUUAGUGGCGCAGCUAACGCGAUAAGUUGACCGCCUGGGGAGUACGGCCGCAAGGUUAAAGCUCAAAGGAAUUGACGGGGGCCCGCACAAGCGGUGGAGCACGUGGUUUAAUUCGAUGCAACGCGAAGAACCUUACCAGCCCUUGACAUCCUGCGAACUUUCUAGAGAUAGAUUGGUGCCUUCGGGAGCGCAGUGACAGGUGCUGCAUGGCUGUCGUCAGCUCGUGUCGUGAGAUGUUGGGUUAAGUCCCGUAACGAGCGCAACCCUUGUCCUCAGUUGCCAGCGGUUCGGCCGGGAACUCUGGGGAGACUGCCGGUGAUAAACCGGAGGAAGGUGGGUAUGACGUCAAGUCAUCAUGGCCCUUAUGGGCUGGGCUACACACGUGCUACAAUGGCCGGUACAGAGGGCAGCGACCCCGCGAGGGUGAGCGAAUCUCAUAAAACCGGUCGUAGUCCGGAUCGCAGUCUGCAACUCGACUGCGUGAAGUCGGAAUCGCUAGUAAUCGCGAAUCAGCAUGUCGCGGUGAAUACGUUCCCGGGCCUUGUACACACCGCCCGUCACACCAUGGGAGUGGGUUGCAAAAGAAGUGGGUAGUCUAACCU